AUUUACACAGUUUGGAGCAAAAAAAAAAAAUGAAAAAUGUCUGUUUUCAUACAUAAAUGUCCGUCCACACACGUCACCUAAUAAACAAAACAAUGGGCAUCGCCUGUUUUUUAUUCAACUGUCCGUUCACUGAAAAGUAAUGCCUUGGGUCUUGAUUUUGGGGCCCCUCAAUGUCAUGGGCCCGAAGCUUAUUGCCCGUUAUGCCACCCUAUCGGAACGCCACUGUGCACCAUGUUUCCCGGUACAUUUGGACACUUUAAGCGACUUCUUCUGGACCAAAAAAGAUCAAACUCGGGAAUUGGAGAUUUUUUUUUUUUUGUAAGCGAAAUGAAGCGAUCGAAUUUUCGGUGGAUUUCAAUGUGGAUUUCACCGUGUUUUAGUGAGAGGAGGAUGUUUUUUUUUUUUUUGUACGCCCCUACAGAAACCCCUAAAUGAAGCCAGGGGAAUGAAAUUGUAUACACACACGGUGCAAGUAACUGCAAAGAUGUGUCUUUUGGUGUAUUAUUUGAGAUAUAAUUAUAAACAAACCACGUUUGUUAAUUUCAGUUAAUUGAUUAAAUUAUAUUUUGUUAU